rnacentral:tRNA from 1 species
AGCUCUAUCGUCUAACGGAUUAGGACAGCAGAAUACGAAUCUGCAAAUUGGGGUUCGAUUCCCUAUGGAGCUA